rnacentral:rRNA from 1 species
UAAGGAAUAUUGGUCAAUGGACGCAAGUCUGAACCAGCCAUGCCGCGUGGAGGAUGAAGGUCCUCUGGAUUGUAAACUUCUUUUAUCUGGGAAGAAACCCAUGGUUUCUACUGUGGUUGACGGUACCAGAUGAAUAAGCACCGGCUAACUCCGUG